rnacentral:rRNA from 1 species
AGAGUUUGAUCCUGGCUCAGAAUCAACGCUGGCGGCGUGCCUAACACAUGCAAGUCGAACGCGAAAGUCCCGCAAGGGAUAAGUAGAGUGGCAAACGGGUGAGUAACACGUGGGUGACCUGCCUUCGAGCGGGGGAUAACGUCCCGAAAGGGACGCUAAUACCGCAUGACAUCCUGCCUUUGAAGAGGCGGAGAUCAAAGCCGGGGAUCGCAAGACCUGGCACUCGAAGAGGGGCCCGCGCCUGAUUAGCUAGUUGGUGGGGUAAUGGCUCACCAAGGCGACGAUCAGUAGCCGGCCUGAGAGGGCGGACGGCCACACUGGGACUGAGACACGGCCCAGACUCCUACGGGAGGCAGCAGUGGGGAAUUGUUCGCAAUGGGCGCAAGCCUGACGACGCAACGCCGCGUGGAGGACGAAGACCUUCGGGUCGUAAACUCCUUUCGAUCGAGACGAAUGGCCUCUGGGUGAAUAUCCCGGGGGAGUGACGGUACCGAGAGAAGAAGCCCCGGCUAACUCCGUGCCAGCAGCCGCGGUAAUACGGGGGGGGCAAGCGUUGUUCGGAAUUACUGGGCGUAAAGGGCUCGUAGGUGGCCAACUAAGUCAGACGUGAAAUCCCUCAGCUUAACUGGGGAACUGCGUCUGAUACUGGAUGGCUUGAGUUUGGGAGAGGGAUGCGGAAUUCCAGGUGUAGCGGUGAAAUGCGUAGAUAUCUGGAGGAACACCGGUGGCGAAGGCGGCAUCCUGGACCAACACUGACACUGAUGAGCGAAAGCCAGGGGAGCAAACGGGAUUAGAUACCCCCGUAGUCC